rnacentral:rRNA from 1 species
GAUGAACGCUAGCGGCAGGCUUAAUACAUGCAAGUCGAACGGUAAGUGUUAUAGCAAUAUAGCACGAGAGUGACGUACGGGUGCGUAACACGUAUGCAACCUACCUUGUACAGGAGGAUAGCUCGGGGAAACGUACGAAUUAACCCUCCAUAAGAUCAUAGAAUGGCAUCAUUUAGUGAUAAAACUUAAGGUGGUACAAGAUGGGCAUGCGUCUGANAGUUAGUUGGUGGGUAAUGGCUCACCAAGACGAUGAUCAGUAGGGGACCUGAGAGGGUGA